rnacentral:rRNA from 1 species
CCUACGGGGCGCAGCAGUGGGGAAUAUUGGGCAAUGGGCGCAAGCCUGACCCAGCAACGCCGCGUGAAGGAAGAAGGCUUUCGGGUUGUAAACUUCUUUUCUCAGGGACGAAGCAAGUGACGGUACCUGAGGAAUAAGCCACGGCUAACUACGUGCCAGCAGCCGCGGUAAUCCGUAGGUGGCAAGCGUUAUCCGGAUUUACUGGGUGUAAAGGUCGUGUAGGCGGGACUGCAAGUCAGAUGUGAAAACCACGGGCUCAACCUGUGGCCUGCAUUUGAAACUGUAGUUCUUGAGUACUGGAGAGGCAGACGGAAUGCGUGGUGUAGCGGUGAAAUGCGUAGAUAUUAGGAGGAACACCAGUGGCGAAGGCGGUCUGCUGGACAGCAACUGACGCUGAGGCGCGAAAGCGUGGGGAGCAAACAGGAGUAGAUACCCUGGUAGUC